rnacentral:rRNA from 1 species
AUUGAACGCUGGCGGCAUGCCUUACACAUGCAAGUCGAACGGUAACGGGCCUUCGGGUGCCGACGCGUGGCGAACGGGUGAGUAAUACAUCGGAACGUGCCCGACCGUGGGGGAUAACGAGGCGAAAGCUUUGCUAAUCCCGCAUCCGAUCUACGGAUGAAAGGAAGGGACCGGGAGGCCUUGCUCGGGCGGAGCGGCCGAUGGCAGCGUAGGUUGUGGGUGGGGUAAAAGCUUACCCAGACGACGAGCUGGAGCUGGUCUGAGAGGAGGAUCAGCCACAUUGGGACUGAGACACGGCCAUGACUACUACGGGAGGCAGCAGUGUGGAAUGGUGGACAAUGGUGGCAAGCCUGAUCCAGCCAUGCCGCGCGCAGGAUGAAGGCGUUCGGGUUGGGAACUGCGUUUGUACGGAACGAAAAGCCUUCUUUUAAUACAGGAGGUGCAUGACGGUACCGUAAGAAUAAGCACCGGCUAACUACGUG